GCAGUUAUAGAUUAAUUGGUUUAAAUCGCCAGACUUUCAAUCUGGUGUUCCGGGUUCGAUCCCCGGUAACUGCUCCA
rnacentral:tRNA from 1 species